rnacentral:rRNA from 1 species
UACGUAGGGGGCCAGCGUUGCUCGGAAUUACUGGGCGUAAAGGGUUCGUAGGUGGUGCGGCAAGUUGGGAGUGAAAUCUCUGGGCUUAACUCAGAGGCUGCUUUCAAAACUGCCGCGCCUCGAGUGCGAGAGAGGUCAGUGGAAUUGCAGGUGUAGCGGUGAAAUGCGUAGAGAUCGGGAGGAACACCAGCGGCGAAGGCGGCUUACUGGACAGUUACUGACACUC